rnacentral:snRNA from 1 species
AUACUAUCUAUAAAGUAACGUA